CUAGAAAGGCCGUUCUAGGCACCGCCAGCACCGCUGUCCCGGCUGGGCAUACCAGGCAUUGGCUCUUCGGGGGGGAAUGAUCGUCUGCGUUCGGCUGCCUGGAAUGCGGACCUCCCCAGCACUGCGAGUCGCUAAAGAGCUCACACCUGGACAAGCCCACGCGAACAGAUGGGACUCUCUUCAUUGUCUGAGGGAAGGAGAGUCCCAGAGCCCCUCCCUGGGUGAACCCUCACCACCACCCCCAACCACAGUGAAAAUCUUCGGUACCCUCCUUCCUGCCUCUCAAGCCAUUUGGGAGCUGCUGACCUCAGAGGCUGACAUUAUGUAAACAACUGAACCUUUCACGCUCUCUUGGUUCAUGAGUGAUGCCGUCCGUCUUGACGCCCGUCUUGACGUUUCAAUGAAACCUUCCAUGAAAUCCCUUCAGCUUUUGCAAGGUGACUGCAACAAUAUGCAAGCUGUGUGUGUUCUGUGUAUGAGUCAGGGAGGCUGCCGGGAGAAGGAAGAGGAGCUCAAAGGAGAAACAGGCCUGGGAGACCUCAAAAGAAGAAAUGUAGAUGUUGGCCUAACUUGGGGUAAAGUUUUCCCAGCUGGAAUAGUGACAAUGUCAAUAUUCUCAGAAGGCGGCUUCCGUUCCUCUUGGAGCGCUUGCUGUGUUCACACCAGCGUGACUGACUACACAGCCUCAGUCAGCUGCUGCAGGGACUACAGGCCACAUAGUAGCCUGCUACUAGGGUUGAGCACCGACUAAUCUUUCUUCUUACCUGAGCAAAGGCACCUUCCUACUCCAGGCCUUGGGAUCCCAUCCAGUAAGCAAAAAAGGCUAGAUAAAACGCCUUCUUAGUACUCUC